CACGUAGGGCGCAAGCGUUGUCCGGAAUUAUUGGGCGUAAAGAGCUCGUAGGUGGUUUGUUACGUCUGCUGUGAAAACCUAGGGCUUAACCCUGGGCUUGCAGUGGAUACGGGCAGACUAGAGGUAGGUAGGGGAGAAUGGAAUUCCUGGUGUAGCGGUGAAAUGCGCAGAUAUCAGGAGGAACACCGGUGGCGAAGGCGGUUCUCUGGGCCUACCUGACACUGAGGAGCGAAAGCGUGGGGAGCGAACAGG
rnacentral:rRNA from 1 species